rnacentral:rRNA from 1 species
AUACGAAGGUGGCAAGCGUUGUUCGGAUUCACUGGGCAUAAAGGGCGUGUAGGCGGUUCUCUAAGCGGAAUGUGAAAUCCCGGGGCUCAACCCCGGAACUGCAUUCCGAACUGGAGAACUAGAGGACAGGAGGGGGGUAUGGAACUCAUAGUGUAGCGGUGAAAUGCGUAGAUAUUAUGAGGAACACCGGUGGCGAAGGCGGCUUCCUGGACUGAUUCUGACACUGAGGCGCGAAAGCAUGGGGAGCGAACGGGAUUAGAAACCCCAGUAGUCC